UACGAAGGGGGCUAGCGUUGUUCGGAAUUACUGGGCGUAAAGGGCGCGUAGGCGGUGUGUCAAGUCAGGCGUGAAAGCCCCGGGCUCAACCUGGGAACCGCGCUUGAGACUGGCACGCUCGAGUUCGGGAGAGGAUGGUGGAAUUCCCAGUGUAGAGGUGAAAUUCGUAGAUAUUGGGAAGAACACCGAUGGCGAAGGCAGCCAUCUGUACCGACACUGACGCUGAGGCGCGAAAGCGUGGGGAGCAAACAGG
rnacentral:rRNA from 1 species